GAAGCGAGUAUCUGCGCAGCAGCUGACGGAGAAGGGAGCGCACGAAAAGAGGUUGGUAGACCGAGAGAGCAAGGAGGUGGACAGUAAGAAGGUUUCCGAGUACUACUCCUGGCACACCCAUCACUCUGCACACAAGUAUAGGCCAAUACACAGAGACCCUUUUAAGUAGACAUAUACGCGCCCUUCUCUGCGCGUUCUCUAGGUCGGCGGCGGGGUAGCGUAUCCACCCUCAUUAAUGUCUUUAGUCUUUGCUUUAUUCGCAUCUCUACCUUCUGGCCGCCUUUUCACCGCGACACCAUGGCUGUUGUGUCGAAGCUGACGUCGAGUCGCUUUCUUGGCUUCUACGCCGUGCAGCUGCUCUGCCUCGCUGCGGCGGCUCGCAUUCUCGAUGCCGUGGUGCUCCGGCGACGCGGUGCAAGCGGCAGCACAAAGCACCGCUCUCGCCGCUUCUCUCCGUCGCGCGUCGGUGGCAGCAGCGAGGAUGCCACAAUCAAGAUGGAUCGCAUCUUCUGGGGGCGCCUCCUCUCUCUUCUCCGACUGUGCAUUCCUCAUUUCGUAUCCGUCGAAUCCGGGGGUGUGCUGCUCUUGCUGACCCUCUUUUACCUGCGCACCCACCUGACAUUGCUGUUUGCAAGGGUUGUCGGGCGCAAUGGCCGGUACCUCGUGGAGCGCAACACGAAAGCGUUUAUUUCUAGCGUGGCGGACAUCGGCUUGCUCGCCAUCCCGGGAACGAUUCUGCAAAUCGGGGUGCAGUACGUGAAGAUAAUGACGCAGCAGCGGCUGCGAGACAACUUGCAGGCGGCCCUUCACAAAGAGUACCUCAAAGGGAACACGAUCUACAUGAUCGCUACGCAGAGCGCCUUCAUAGAUAACACCGAUCACCGUCUCACGCAGGAGACAGAUCAGUUCUGCAAGGGCGUUGCUGGAGUAUUCCGCGCCCUAUUUAAACCGAUUCUGGACGUGGUGACGCUUCUGAUGGAGCUCUCGAGGCACGGAGGCCUUGCUCCCCCUGCUUUCUUAAUCUCCUACUACCUGCUCGUUGCGACGUGCAUGUCGGUGCUGCUGCCCAACUUUGGUCAGCUGGUGGCGACGAGUCAACAGAAGGAAGGCAACCUGCGCACGAAGCACCACCAGCUCAUCUCGCACGCGGAGGAGAUCGCUUUCUACAACGGCGAGGAGAUCGAGCGCGAGCACGCGGGACGCCUGCUGGGCUCCCUCAUUCGCCACGAGUACAAGAUCAAGCGCACCAAGUGGCUGACCGGGUGCAGUGACAGCCUGUUCAUCAAGUACGGUGCCAGCUUGGUCGGGUACCUUGUGUGCAGUCUUGUCGUUGUCGACCAGUUCCACCUCAUGACCAAGGGUGAUCUUACUCAGCUGUACCUCCAAAAUGUGCAGCUGUACGUGCCCUUUUCCGCAGCGAUUGGGCGGAUGCUUCUCAUGCACAAACAAGUAGGCGCGUUGUGCGGCAGCGUGCACCGCAUUGGCGAGCUGCGCGAGAGACUGGAGCGCAUCAACAUGUUGAAUGUGCGUGGUGAAGGGGCCAACGUCGUCUACUCGAAUGAUUUGGUGCAAUGGAGGGACGUGGAUAUCGUCAGUCCGGCUGGCAUGAGUCUUCUGCAUGAUUUUAACCUCACUGUCACCCCUGGGAAGCACACGCUGAUCAUGGGCAGCAACGGCUCCGGCAAGACGGCACUGAUGCGCGUGCUUAGUGGGCUAUGGCCGGUUGCCAAGGGCAGCGUGACCCUCCCAACGGCCCCCGAGUCGCUCAUGUGCCUGCCGCAGCGUACGUACCUCCCACCUGGCUCGCUGCGUGCGCUGCUUACAUACCCGCACGUUACAGAGGACGCCCGCGACGGCAAGCCUGAGCAAGCUUUCGUGUCGGAUGAGGUUAUCAUAUCCGCGGCGAUGUCGUUUGGCCUCAACCCCAUGAUGGAUCGGGAAGGUGGCUUGGAUGCCUCCGAGAACUGGGAGGAAGUGUUGUCGGGUGGGGAGCGUCAGCGUGUGGCCCUGGUGCGCGUCCUGUUGCACCGCCCGCAAUUCGCAUUCCUCGAUGAGUGCACGAGCGCAAUUUCCCAGGAUGAAGAGCCCUUCUUCUACAGAUUACUGCAGAAGGCAGGUGUGACGCUGAUCACGGUAUCACAUCAUGAGACACUGCGCAAGCUGCACCGCGUCGUCGUCUCCUUGGACGGAGAAGGCGGCUGUCAGGUCAGCGAACAGUAAAGAGGGCGGGCGAGUGAGAGAGAAGACAAAUUGAGCGGAUUGUUCGCCUCUCUUGUUUUGGGGCUGUGCUGGGUGCAGCUGAAGCGCGGAUUUCUUUUGCAACUCAAGGUCGUCCCAACAACGGACUCUUGGGGCGCUGAUGUUGCACCUCUGAAAGACACACGCACACGAGGAGGUAUUCUUUCCUUUCUGGCGACGACGACGACGACGACGGAAGACAAACAAGCGCAAAAGUAACCGAAAACGUGGAAGCAGAGCUGAUGACGCUUUCGUUGUUCUUUUUCGUCCUUUCUCCUUUUUGCCUUUGCGCCCUCCCUCUCCUUCUUCGACUCAUGCACGCUGCCGUCCUUUUAAAAGAAAAACGCACCUUUACCUGCGAACACGCAUUUUGCAUAUGCAUAUAUAUAUAUGUUUAUGUAUGUAUUUGCUAUCAUUUGGAAAUGUCCUGUUCGGUGUCUGUCUGUGCGCUGGUGUCUGCUUAUGCGUGUUCUCUUGUUUUUCUUUCUCUGCCACACCUCCAAUGCUUCCUCCGCUUCCUUUAUCAUGUGCAUACACACAUCAGUGGGCGCCUUUUCUUUUUCGUGGUUCCCUUCUCGUAGCAUCCGCCUGCUAAAGGGUUGAACGUGGGAGAGGAGUCCUUGAGGGGUCUGUGGCGCUCGUACAAAAUGUACAAGAACGACAUUUUAAAGAAGAGGGCAACUCUUCUAGCGUGCGCAGCUGUACUGUGCGACAGCACCAUAUGCGGGCGCUGGGGUCUUCUGCGCUUCCAUGUCUUUGAGGGUGUACGCUCUGUGUGCUCGCGUUUGCGUGCAUACGUGUUUUUCUCUUCCUUCAGCCAUUUUUUUUGGGUUUCGCUAGACGGGGCCGAUAAUGUGCCAGUGGUGUUCUUAUAUAUAUUAUUCUAAGUUUGCUGUGCUGUUGUUUUUAAUAUCGGCCUCUGCCCACCUCUGCCUGUGCCUUUCUCUCGGAGUCUCAAAAGAUUUGCCCUUGCGCGCUUCCGGCACUGCAACACCUAACCGACUGUGAAGGAGAGGGGAUGUAUCGGCUGUCUGGUGUGCGUAGGCGUAUGUGUCUUGCUCUUUUUCAGCAUUUUGGAGUGUGCACUGGUGUAUGCUAGCGUUGUCGACCUGUUUUUUUUUCUUUAUUGGUGAGGUGUGGUGUCUACAUGUGUAUGAAGGAGGCAGGGAGCUGAAAGUGCGAGUGCGCAGGAGUAGGUGCAGGUGUAUAAGGCGACGCACAGGCCUUCACGAACCGUCUUUCCCCAUCGCGUUCUCUCUGGGCUACAUAGACUGCUGGCUCCCACGUCCCCUUUCUCUCUCUGCCUGUGUGUGCCGCGCGUGUAUGUUUAGAUUUGCAUGUGCUGAUUCUCACUCCCCCGUACAGUUGGUCUUUGAGUCUGGGGUGCGCCGCGUUCGCACACGCGCAUGUCAGCUGCGUGUGUCUCCAAAGGGGUGGAAAAAAUGUACCCUGUGCUGCCCGGACCUCUGCCUCCCCCAAAAGAGGGAGCCUUGAGUGCGAAGUGGGUGUUGGAUUUGUAUAUAAGGGUUCCCUCAGUGUUAAUAACGGCUUAAUGAAUGAAAAAGAGCGUAAGUCGUGAUGCGCGUAGUCAAGCCACCAUUGCCUACGCACGGUGGUCACCGGCACCGCUUUGGUGUAUCACUGUUGUCGGCCUCGACCAGCGUCGCACAUCUGCGGGAGCGGUGCAUGGACGCCCGGAGGCCGCCUUUAGCCUUCUCUGCGGCAGGCAGUCUUUAGCGCUCCACCCGGUAACUGCAAGUAUGAUAUCGUCUAGGGUGUUGUCAAAAGCCUGCUCCCCUUGCUGUGCCGCUCCGUGCCAUCGUUUUCUAUCGAUCUCGCUCGCCUUCUUCUUACCACACGGUUGCUGCUCUUCCUCCAACCGCCAUCACAUCGUCUCUCUCACACAGCCAUGUGCGACCGUUGCACGUAUCUGUGAAAGAGAUAACAUCGUUGACGCGAGAGAGCCCGCGUUCGGCUGCGCUCUUCUUUGCUUUCCGACUGCAAUCCUCCUCGCAGAGGACGGCCACACCUGCUCCACGCUGUAUUACUGAUCGUCUUCGUGAAGAAGGCCAGCUCACCGUCUAUACUGUUCUCUCUUCCACUUUUUCUGUUCUCUGUCUGACACCCCCGGCUUCCACAG
rnacentral:misc_RNA from 1 species